rnacentral:rRNA from 1 species
CACGGGGGGAGCAAGCGUUGUUCGGAAUCACUGGGCGUAAAGGGCGUGUAGGCGGUCAAGUAAGUGGAAUGUGAAAUCCCCCGGCUUACCCGGGGACCGGCAUCCCAUACUGCUUGGCUUGAGUACGGGAGAGGAUGUGGGAAUUCCUGGUGUAGCGGUGAAAUGCGUAGAUAUCAGGAGGAACACCGGUGGCGAAGGCGCACAUCUGGCCCGAUACUGACGCUGAAGCGCGAAAGCUAGGGGAGCAAACAGG